GUUGCUAAGAGACAUCCUACCGCGGUUGGCCCUGGUUCGUGUGAAUGUGAGCCAGGUGUUGUUGAGUGUGGUUAGGUGUGGCAAGCUCUAAGGGGAGAGAG